UACGUAGGGUGCAAGCGUAAUCGGAAUUACUGGGCGUAAAGCGUGCGCAGGCGGUUUUGUAAGUCUGAUGUGAAUCCCCGGGCUCAACCUGGGAAUGCCAUUCGAGACUGCAUAGCUAGGGUGCGGAAGAGGGAAGCGGAAUUUCCGGUGUAGCGGUGAAAUGCGUAGAUAUCGGAAGGAACACCAGUGGCCGAAAGCGGCUUCCUGGUCCAGGCACCGACGUCAGG
rnacentral:rRNA from 1 species